AUGCUAUUGCUAGAAGAUGGGGAUUUUAAGGAACUCCUACCAAGUGAAGGAGACAGUGGUGCUGUGAAGCAUGGUGCAUAUGGUUGGAUGGCUCACUCAGCACCUUCCAGCUUGUCUUCCUCUGCUACACAGACUGGAAGGGUAAAACUUUGUUUUGUAGACCAAUUGCUGCUGGUGCCCAGGCACAUGGCCUGUGUUCUUCCAAUCGCAUGUACUAGCACAAGUGGAGGCAGAAAUGAUCAACAUGAGGUAGCAGCCAGACACCACAAGGUUUAGUCUUCUGAUGAGAAGAGCUGUAGAGGUGUCUAGUUGUGAGGUGGCUGUCACGGUGCCUGUCUCCUCAGGUCUCCUUUGGGCCAUCAGAGCCCAAAGGAUCAGC
rnacentral:lncRNA from 1 species